GACGAACGCUGGCGGCGGGCUUAACACAUGCAAGUCGAACGAAGUGGCGAACGGGUGAGUAAUACGUGGGUAACCUGCCCUCCUUUUUGGGAUAAGCCUUGGAAACGGGGUCUAAUACCGAAUAAAGGGGGAUGGGCUCGCGGCAUAUCAGCUUGUUGGGGGGGUGAUGGCCUACCAAGGCGGUGACGGGUAGCCGGCCUGAGAGGGGGACCGGCACUAUUGCGACGGAGAGACGGCCACGGCUCCUACGGGAGGCAGAAGUUGGGCAUAUUGAACAAUGGGCGAAAGCCUGAUGCAGCGACGCCGCGUGGGGGAUGAAGUUGUUCGGGUUGUAAACCUGUUUGGAUAUCGAACGGGUAGGUGCAGAAGAAGCGCCGGCUAACUACGUGCCAGCAGCCGCGGUAAUUC
rnacentral:rRNA from 1 species